AGUUCGAUCCUGGCUCAGGAUGAACGCCGGCGGUGUGCCUAAUACAUGCAAGUCGUACGCACUGGCCCAACUGAUUGAUGGUGCUUGCACCUGAUUGACGAUGGAUCACCAGUGAGUGGCGGACGGGUGAGUAACACGUAGGUAACCUGCCCCGGAGCGGGGGAUAACAUUUGGAAACAGAUGCUAAUACCGCAUAACAACAAAAGUCACAUGGCUUUUGUUUGAAAGAUGGCUUUGGCUAUCACUCUGGGAUGGACCUGCGGUGCAUUAGCUAGUUGGUAAGGUAACGGCUUACCAAGGCGAUGAUGCAUAGCCGAGUUGAGAGACUGAUCGGCCACAAUGGAACUGAGACACGGUCCAUACUCCUACGGGAGGCAGCAGUAGGGAAUCUUCCACAAUGGGCGCAAGCCUGAUGGAGCAACACCGCGUGAGUGAAGAAGGGUUUCGGCUCGUAAAGCUCUGUUGUUGGAGAAGAACGUGCGUGAGAGUAACUGUUCAUGCAGUGACGGUAUCCAACCAGAAAGUCACGGCUAACUACGUGCCAGCAGCCGCGGUAAUACGUAGGUGGCAAGCGUUAUCCGGAUUUAUUGGGCGUAAAGCGAGCGCAGGCGGUUGCUUAGGUCUGAUGUGAAAGCCUUCGGCUUAACCGAAGAAGUGCAUCGGAAACCGGGCGACUUGAGUGCAGAAGAGGACAGUGGAACUCCAUGUGUAGCGGUGGAAUGCGUAGAUAUAUGGAAGAACACCAGUGGCGAAGGCGGCUGUCUGGUCUGCAACUGACGCUGAGGCUCGAAAGCAUGGGUAGCGAACAGGAUUAGAUACCCUGGUAGUCCAUGCCGUAAACGAUGAGUGCUAGGUGUUGGAGGGUUUCCGCCCUUCAGUGCCGGAGCUAACGCAUUAAGCACUCCGCCUGGGGAGUACGACCGCAAGGUUGAAACUCAAAGGAAUUGACGGGGGCCCGCACAAGCGGUGGAGCAUGUGGUUUAAUUCGAAGCUACGCGAAGAACCUUACCAGGUCUUGACAUCUUGCGCUAACCUUAGAGAUAAGGCGUUCCCUUCGGGGACGCAAUGACAGGUGGUGCAUGGUCGUCGUCAGCUCGUGUCGUGAGAUGUUGGGUUAAGUCCCGCAACGAGCGCAACCCUUGUUACUAGUUGCCAGCAUUAAGUUGGGCACUCUAGUGAGACUGCCGGUGACAAACCGGAGGAAGGUGGGGACGACGUCAGAUCAUCAUGCCCCUUAUGACCUGGGCUACACACGUGCUACAAUGGACGGUACAACGAGUCGCAAGCUCGCGAGAGUAAGCUAACCUCUUAAAGCCGUUCUCAGUUCGGACUGUAGGCUGCAACUCGCCUACACGAAGUCGGAAUCGCUAGUAAUCGCGGAUCAGCAUGCCGCGGUGAAUACGUUCCCGGGCCUUGUACACACCGCCCGUCACACCAUGGGAGUUUGUAACGCCCAAAGUCGGUGGCCUAACCUUUAUGGAGGGAGCCGCCUAAGGCGGGACAGAUGACUGGGGUGAAGUCGUAAAAAGGUAGCC
rnacentral:rRNA from 1 species